UAAGGAAUAUUGGACAAUGGUCGGAAGACUGAUCCAGCCAUGCCGCGUGAAGGACGAAGGCGCUCAGCGUUGUAAACUUCUUUUGGAUGGGGAUAAUAACCUCGAUUUAUCGGGGCUUGAAGGUACCAUCAGAAUAAGCACCGGCUAACUCCGUGCCAGCAGCCGCGGUAAUACGGAGGGUGCGAGCGUUAUCCGGAAUCACUGGGUUUAAAGGGUGCGUAGGCGGCGAGGUAAGUCAGUUGUGAAAUUC
rnacentral:rRNA from 1 species